AUAAAAUUUAAAACUAUUACAAAACUAUAUGUAUAUCAAAUAUAAAUUCAGCAUUCAAACUUAAUAUAAACAUUUGGAAAGUUCUUACAAUUCUACACUCAUUAAACCUCAAUGUUGCUGUGAAAACAUCAGCACACAGACAAUACAGACAUCCAUUUAGGGACGACAUCAAAAGUUCAAUGUAGGAUAAAAAACUUAAUUCACAUAGUUUUUUCACUGACCCCCCUACCCCCCUCU
rnacentral:lncRNA from 1 species